GUUAAUGUGCUUUGUGAAUUGUCACUUAGCUAGCUGCAUAUUUGGAAGUUUUUAAUCGGCGAAAUAUUGAUUUUGAUCACAUUUAUCGGAAUAUGGUCUUCAGCCGAUCAUCCACUCUACUUGGUACUGCAGCUGCCAGUGUCUCUACUUUGGCUCAUAUGCUUCGCGGUACAAAUGUGAGUACAUACUUAGCGGUAUAAAUGUUGUAUUGCAACUAUGGUGCAUGAUAGGAUGACUGAAUCUGUUAAUACUCAGAAGCUAACUUCCUUUGAGACCAGUGUAGUUCCAGAGGAGUUUUUUUAUAUACCUGUCAUGGAGAAGGGGAGGAAAGCGUUGAAAGAGAUUAAUCUGGAGAUGGGUUUCGCUUUUGAUGAACAGGAUUUGGAAUACUACACCAAACUUUUCACAGAUGACAUUAAGCGUAAUCCAACAAAUGUGGAGUUGUUUGAUAUUGCUCAGUCAGUCCAACAGCGAACAUA